rnacentral:lncRNA from 1 species
CAUAUGUCUUAGAAACCCUAUGCCAUGUUCAAUUUGUUUUGGUUUAAGAAGGAAAAUAGUGAGUUGUAUACAAAAAAUAGUGUAGGACAUAGUAGAGAUCAAUGGCUAGGAUUCAGCCUCCACUUUGAAAAUCUACGAAUGCAAACAUGUAUAAAAUGGUAUACAAGGUUUUUUUUCCCCUUCUUCCCCACCUAACACAGUCCAUUUCCAAACCACACUU